rnacentral:rRNA from 1 species
AGGACGAACGCUGGCGGCGUGCCUAACACAUGCAAGUCGAACGGGGAUUUGUUUCGGCAGAAUCCUAGUGGCGAACGGGUGAGUAACGCGUAGGCAACCUGCCCUCCGGCCGGGGACAACACUCCGAAAGGGGUGCUAAUACCGGAUACGAAGUCUGUGCCGCAUGGUACGGAUUUGAAAGAUGGCCUCUAUUUAUAAGCUAUCGCCGGGGGAUGGGCCUGCGUCCGAUUAGCUGGUUGGUGGGGUAACGGCCUACCAAGGCGACGAUCGGUAGCCGGUCUGAGAGGAUGAACGGCCACAUUGGGACUGAGACACGGCCCAGACUCCUACGGGAGGCAGCAGUGGGGAAUCUUCCGCAAUGGGCGCAAGCCUGACGGAGCAACGCCGCCGUGAGUGAGGAAGUUCUUCGGAACGUAAAGCUCUGUUGUUCCUGACGAACCUCCCCUUUAUCAACAACGGAGGGGACUGACGGUAGGGAACGAGGAAGCCACGGCUAACUACGUGCCAGCCGCAGC